AGUAGGGAAUCUUCCGCAAUGGACGAAAGUCUGACGGAGCAACGCCGCGUGAGCGAAGAAGGUCUUCGGAUUGUAAAGCUCUGUUGUUAGGGAAGAACAAGUACCGUUCGAAGAGGGCGGUACCGUGACGGUACCUAACGAGAAAGCCACGGCUAACUACGUGCCAGCAGCCGCGGUAAUACGUAGGUAGCAAGCGUUGUCCGGAAUUAUUGGGCGUAAAGCGCGCGCAGGCGGUUCCUUAAGUCUGAUGUGAAAGCCCACGGCUCAACCGUGGAGGGUCAUUGGAAACUGGGGGACUUGAGUGCAGAAGAGGAGAGCGGAAUUCCACGUGUAGCGGUGAAAUGCGUAGAGAUGUGGAGGAACACCAGUGGCGAAGGCGGCUCUCUGGUCUGUAACUGACGCUGAGGCGCGAAAGCGCGGGGAGCAAA
rnacentral:rRNA from 1 species